GCUGACGAGCGGCGGACGGGUGAGUAAUGCAUAGGAAUCUGCCCGAUAGUGGGGGAUAACCUGGGGAAACCCAGGCUAAUACCGCAUACGUCCUACGGGAGAAAGGGGGCUUCGGCUCCCGCUAUCGGAUGAGCCUAUGUCGGAUUAGCUAGUUGGUGAGGUAAAGGCUCACCAAGGCAACGAUCCGUAGCUGGUCUGAGAGGAUGAUCAGCCACAUCGGGACUGAGACACGGCCCGAACUCCUACGGGAGGCAGCAGUGGGGAAUAUUGGACAAUGGGGGCAACCCUGAUCCAGCCAUGCCGCGUGUGUGAAGAAGGCCCUCGGGUUGUAAAGCACUUUCAGCGAGGAAGAACGCCUAGCGGUUAAUACCCGCUAGGAAAGACAUCACUCGCAGAAGAAGCACCGGCUAACUCCGUGCCAGCAGCCGCGGUAAUACGGAGGGUGCAAGCGUUAAUCGGAAUUACUGGGCGUAAAGCGCGCGUAGGUGGCUUGAUAAGCCGGUUGUGAAAGCCCCGGGCUCAACCUGGGAACGGCAUCCGGAACUGUCAAGCUAGAGUGCAGGAGAGGAAGGUAGAAUUCCCGGUGUAGCGGUGAAAUGCGUAGAGAUCGGGAGGAAUACCAGUGGCGAAGGCGGCCUUCUGGACUGACACUGACACUGAGGUGCGAAAGCGUGGGUAGCAAACAGGAUUAGAUACCCUGGUAGUCCACGCCGUAAACGAUGUCGACCAGCCGUUGGGUGCCUAGCGCACUUUGUGGCGAAGUUAACGCGAUAAGUCGACCGCCUGGAGACGCCGACUUG
rnacentral:rRNA from 1 species